rnacentral:rRNA from 1 species
GACAGAGGAUGCAAGCGUUAUCCGGAAUGAUUGGGCGUAAAGAGUCCGUAGGCGGCGCAGAAAGUAGGGUGUGAAAGCCCUCGGCUUAACCGAGGAAUUGCGCUCUAAACUACUGUGCUUGAGGAACCUAGAGGUGAGCGGAACUGAUGGUGGAGCGGUGAAAUGCGUUGAUAUCAUCAGGAACACCGGAGGCGAAGGCGGCUCACUGGGGGUUAUCUGACGCUGAGGGACGAAAGCCAGGGGAGCGAACGGG